rnacentral:snRNA from 1 species
AUCGCUUCUCGGCUCUUUGAGCUAAGAUCAAAUGUGUAGUAUCUGUUCUUAUCAGCUUAAUAUCUGAUACAAUCCCCAUAGGGGAUUCAGAAUAUUAAACUGAUUUUUGGGAAAAAGUGAGAGUAUGGAGCUUGCUCCGUCCUCGCUAUGGGUCGACCCGAUCUUGCAGUGAAGUCGGGAUCGGCCUUGUUAAA